CUCUGUCAUCGUUGGUCAAUUUACACCACCGCGUUAGCAAAGCUGGGCACUUCAUUCAUUAGAUAAGUUUGUUCCAUCCUUUUUUAUCCCUUCAGUUGUAUGAAAUUCUUUAUUUAAACUUUUUGCAUCCUUUAUGUAGGCCGAGAUUUCAGAUCUAUCUUCCUCAUCCAUCUGAGCCUUCUUUACACAGUCAGUAAAUCCUCUUCGACCUCCAUCACCCUUAUACCUAGAUUCAAAUCCAUCAACAUUGCUUGGAUGCAAGCCAGCGCUUUAGUCGCAAACGCCAAAAGUAUGUUUUCGUUAAUCACUAUUUUCGAGUCUAUCACAUAUCCUCUUGAAUCCCUAAUAACAAUACUAGAACAUGACCUCUUUUCUUGAUUUCUAUAUGCAACAUCAAAAUUUAACUUAACGCAUGGGUUUUCCGGUGUCUUCCAUUACUCAAUCACCUCCCUCUUCUCCGGUAACUUAUUGCUUAGAUUAUCCAACUCCUUAAGAUAAUUCUUAAUAAAGUUUUCAGUGACUAAUCCAUCUUUUUUCUCACUUUCGUGCACCCAUUUUUUUAUGUCCAUCCAAAUUGCCCUUAGAGCACAUACAAAUACUCUACACUGAUUUUUCAAAUUCUGUUAAAAAUGUAGGCAAUUCAUUCUCUAUUUCCCAUGUCUGCAAUAGUUUGAAACACAUGUUCUGUUGUUUCUACCUCCUUUGUAAUUUGACAGUCAUGCAUCACAUGUUUUGUUGUUUCUGUUUCCUCUUUGCAUCUAGUACAAACUGUCGUUCCAAUCAGCCUUUUGUGACGUAGAUUAUUAAAUGUAGGAAGAAAAUUACAGGCUAUUCUCCAUGUUAUAAUUUUUAUUUUUAGUGGUUGAUUCAAUAGCCAUAUUUUCUUAUAAAGAUUCUCUCUCGUGUUCUAAUUGUAACUAGCAUUAAGAUUUGUGAGUCAUUGUACUAGAAGCUUGUAACCACUACGAACAGAGUACUCGCCUGAUGCUUUACCUUUCCAUACCCUAUGUUCAUUGUAUGGACAUCGUGCCAAUGGAAUACGAAGAAUUCUUUCUACAUCCCUUUAACUAAAGUCCACACUUCCCAGUACCCAAGCAUCUUCCAUUAUCGAGAUAGAAGUCCUUAUACUCACCUGCCAGCACAAGCCCACCUGUAGGAGACCCUUGGUAUCCCACACAUUUUGCCAGACUCAGUCGCUCGAAGGCUCUCCGAUCCCACACCCGAUCUCCGAUUACGACGAAGAGGGUGAGGACUCGGCUUCGCAACAAAGGUAAAAUCCUUCACUUUCCUUCCGUUUCCCUUUCUCAAACAAUAAAUAAAAAGAAAAGAAAAAGGAUCAAAAAAUUAUAAAAGAACCAGAUAAAAGAAACUCGAAAUCACCUUUAAGAAAUUACUUUUUCUCUAUUGCUUUUUUCAGAAUUUUUGAUACAAUCUCCGUGUGUAAAAAAAAACCCUUGCAAACGUUAAGAAAUGACCUUAUAUAGUCGAAUCGAAAAGAAAAAUAAAUAAAUAAAUAAAUCAAAAUACAUCUAUUUUUCUCUGCCAUCUUUUCCUAUUUUCUUUUUGUCGCUCAUUUUUUCGUUUUUCUCUUCGUUUUGCUGCUUGGUUUCGUUUGUUUUGGUUGUUGCAGGUACAAGGCCAGCCUGGAGAUGUA